CGGUUGAUCCUGCCGGAGGCUAUUGCUAUCAGGGUUUGACUAAGCCAUGCGAGUCGAGAGGUGAAAGACCUCGGCAUACUGCUCAGUAACACGUGGAUAAUCUGCCCUCAGAUGAAGAAUAAUCCCGGGAAACUGGGGCUAAUGCUUCAUAGGAGACGGGUGCUGGAAUGCUCUGUCUCUGAAAGGUCCGCCGUCUGAGGAUGAGUCUGCGUCCGAUUAGGUUGUUGUUGGGGUAACGGCCCACCAAGCCUUUGAUCGGUACGGGUUGUGGGAGCAAGAGCCCGGAGAUGGAUUCUGAGACAUGAAUCCAGGCCCUACGGGGCGCAGCAGGCGCGAAAACUUUACAAUGCGAGCAAUCGUGAUAAGGAAACCCUGAGUGCCUGUUAUCGCAGGCUGUUCUGGUGUCUAACACACACCAGGAGAAAGGGCGGGGCAAGACCGGUGCCAGCCGCCGCGGUAAUACCGGCUGCUCGAGUGAUAGCCACUUUUACUGGGCUUAAAGCGUUCGUAGCUUGGUCGUUAAGUCUCUGGGGAAAUCUUUUGGCUCAACCAAAAGGCGUCUCAGGGAAACUGGCGACCUAGGAACCGGGAGAGGUAAGACGUACUUCGGGGGUAGGAGUGAAAUCUUGUAAUCCCCGAGGGACGACCGAUGGCGAAGGCAUCUUACCAGAACGGCUUCGACAGUGAGGGACGAAAGCUGGGGGAGCAAACCGGAUUAGAUACCCGGGUAGUCCCAGCCGUAAACGAUGUGCGUUAGGUGUGUCAGCGACUACGAGUCGCUGAGGUGCCGAAAGGGAAACCGUGAAACGCACCGCCUGGGAAGUACGGUCGCAAGGCUGAAACUUAAAGGAAUUGGCGGGGGAGCAC
rnacentral:rRNA from 1 species